UUUUGUGUCACUUUCACUUCAGGGACGGCAAACUGUGGCGUGUUUCAGGAACGGUUACAUGCCCGACAACUACACUUCUGAACAGAGCUGGGAUGCUCGUCUCCUCAUGGAGCGCUCUCGAGCUGUGAAGUGUCCAGAUAUCAGCGCUCACCUGGCUGGUACCAAGAAGGUUCAGCAAGUGCUCCCCAGGGGAUCCAGCGGAGGAUCACAGUGACCCUCAUCCACGAGAAGGGCAGCGAGCUCCAUUGGAAAGAUGUUCGUGAGCUGGUUGUAGGUGAGCAGCCUGCCUUUAGGGUCUAG